UGCAAGUCGGACGGUAGCACAGAGAGCUUGCUUUUGGGUGACAAGUGGGGGACGGGGGAGUAAUGUGUGGGGAUCUGCCCGAUAGAGGGGGAUAACCCCUGGGAACGGGGGGUAAUACCGCAUAACGUCGCAAGACCCAAGAGGGGGACCUUCGGGCCUCUCACUAUCGGAUGAACCCACAUGGGAUUAGCUAUUAGGCGGGGUAAUGGCCCACCUAUGCGACAAUCCCUAUCUGGUCUGAGAGGAUGACCACCCACACUGGAACUGAGACACGGUCCACACUCCUACGGGAGGCAGCAGUGGGGAAUAUUGCACAAUGGGCGCAAGCCUGAUGCACCCAUGCCGCGUGUAUGAAAAAAGCCUUCGGGUUGUAAAGUACUUUCAGCGGGGAGGAAGGCGACGGGGUUAAUAACCCUGUCGAUUGACGUUACCCGCAGAAAAAACACCGGCUAACUCCGUGCCACCAGCCGCGGUAAUACGGAGGGUGCAAGCGUUAAUCGGAAUUACUGGGCGUAAAGCGCACGCACGCGGUCUGUUAAGUCAGAUGUGAAAUCCCCGGGCUUAACCUGGGAACUGCAUUUGAAACUGGCAGGCUUGAGUCUUGUAGAGGGGGGUAGAAUUCCA
rnacentral:rRNA from 1 species